AUUGAACGCUGGCGGCAGGCCUAACACAUGCAAGUCGAACGAGUGGCGGACGGGUGAGUAAUGUAUGGGAAACUGCCUGAUGGAGGGGGAUAACUACUGGAAACGGUAGCUAAUACCGCAUACCAUCGGAUGUGCCCAUAUGGGAUUAGCUAGUGGGUGGGGUAAGGGCUCACCAAGGCGACGAUCCCUAGCUGGUCUGAGAGGAUGACCAGCCACACUGGAACUGAGACACGGGCCAGACGCCUACGGGAGGCAGCAGUGGGGAAUAUUGGACAAUGGGAGAAAGCCUGAUCCAGCCAUGCCGCGUGUAUGAAGAAGGCCUUCGGGUUGUAAAGUACUUUCAGCGGGGAGGCGUUACUCGCAGAAUAAGCACCGGCUAACUACGUGCCAGCAGCCGCGGUAAUUC
rnacentral:rRNA from 1 species